AUUAACAGAUGCACUGACUAGAAAACGUACUUUCGUAGGUGGGACUUAUGAAAUAUACAAUCGUUUGACCUUUUUCUUUUUAUUAAAUUUUGUAUAUAUGAAAAAGAAGAUGUGGUAUGAUUGCCAAUGAGACAACUGUCCACAAGAGACCAAAAUGACACAGAAAUUAACAUCUAUAGAUCACCGUACGGCCUUCAACAAAGAGCAAUUAAAGCCCAUACCGCAUGUUUGUAUUUAGAAACUGUACAUAUAAACAUACAAAUGUUCUCGUUGUUAGCUCUUCAAAUUGAGACUAUCGUUAGAUUUUUUUCUAUAUUUAGUUAGAUUGCCUCUCUGAAAGUGAACUAUACACAAUAAAAGCACCAAAAUGAAGAAAGAAAAAAAAAA
rnacentral:lncRNA from 1 species